GAUGAACGCUGGCGGCGUGCCUAAUACAUGCAAGUCGAGCGGACCAAAGAGAGCUUGCUCUCUGAGGUUAGCGGCGGACGGGUGAGUAACACGUGGGUAACCUGCCUGUAAGACGGGGAUAACUUCGGGAAACCGAAGCUAAUACCGGAUGAUAAAGAGAAACGCCUGUUUCUUUUUUGAAAGCCGGCCUUGUGCUGACGCUUACAGAUGGGACAGCGGCGCAUUAGCUCGUUGGUGAGGUAACGGCUCACAAAGGCGACGAUGCGUAGCCGACCUGAGAGGGUGAUCGGCCACACUGGGACCGAGACACGGCCCAGACUCCUACGGGAGGCAGCAGUAGGGAAUCUUCGGCAAUGGACGAAAGUCUGACCGAGCAACGCCGCGUGAGCGAUGAAGGCCUUCGGGUCGUAAAGCUCUGUUGUCAGAGAAGAACAAGUACCGGAGUAACUGCCGGUACCUUGACGGUACCUGACCAGAAAGCCACGGCUAACUACGUGCCAGCCGCCGCAGUAACAC
rnacentral:rRNA from 1 species